GUGCCCGUAGCUCAGCCGGAUAGAGCGUCUGACUACGAAUCAGAAGGCCGGGAGUUCGAAUCUCUCCGGGCACG
rnacentral:tRNA from 1 species